rnacentral:rRNA from 1 species
UACGUAGGGGGCAAGCGUUGUCCGGAAUUAUUGGGCGUAAAGCGCGUGUAGGCGGCUCGGUAAGUCUGCUGUGAAAGUCCAGGGCUCAACCCCGGGAGGCGGGCGGAUACUGUCGGGCUAGAGUCCGGAAGAGGCGAGUGGAAUUCCUGGUGUAGCGGUGAAAUGCGCAGAUAUCAGGAGGAACACCAAUGGCGAAGGCAGCUCGCUGGGACGGUACUGACGCUGAGGCGCGAAAGCGUGGGGAGCAAACAGG